rnacentral:ribozyme from 1 species
AAAAUGCAAAAGAAAGAAAGAAAGGAAAAAAGAAAACUGUUGCCCAGGAUGUUCACAUCCUCCUUUUCCUUGCUGUUUUCGCCUGCCCCUUCUUCUUC